GUCGUGUGGAAAGACUGGAGAUCUACAGCAGAUAAGCAUGGCAAUUCAGAUCUUGGACUCCAAAAGUGAUUUGCAGAAGACAUCUUGGAAUGCAUGGGGCUGGAUUUUCUGAUGGUUGCUGCUCGCAUCUCUGCCUCCUGAACAGAAAUACCU